rnacentral:lncRNA from 1 species
AAGGCAAGAGGCCUGAAAUGUCAGAGAAAUGAAUUCAUUGAUAAUAUUCCCUUUUAUUACUUGCACCUGGGGUGGACAUCUCCCAAUGAUCUGGCCUUGGUAUGCCACUGCUUGGAGGCACAAAAGUCUUUCUUGUUAAAAAUACCCGUGAGUGUUAGUGAGGAUCUGAGCAAUGCAAAGGCUCAUGCCUGCAAGCUGAUGGGAAGACAGCUGGUGAACUCCUUCACAGAAUCUGGCAUUUCCUGGCAACAUUGCGCAGCUCCCUCUCUGGCCACAGCCUUUGAACUUGAGGCCAGGCAUGUCCAGAAGGUGCCAGCGUGUGCAUAUCUUAUGACCGACCCAUCCUUGUGGUGA